UACGGAGGGAGCUAGCGUUGUUCGGAAUUACUGGGCGUAAAGCGCACGUAGGCGGCUUUGUAAGUUAGGGGUGAAAGCCCGGAGCUCAACUCCGGAAUUGCCUUUAAGACUGCAUCGCUUGAAUCCGGGAGAGGUGAGUGGAAUUCCGAGUGUAGAGGUGAAAUUCGUAGAUAUCAGGAAGAACACCGGUGGCGAAGGCGGCUCGCUGGGCCAGAUCCGACACUCAUCCGCGAAAGCGUGGGGAGCAAACAGG
rnacentral:rRNA from 1 species